rnacentral:rRNA from 1 species
GAUGAACGCUAGCGGCAGGCUUAAUACAUGCAAGUCGAGGGGCAGCGCAGUGUAGCAAUACAUGGGCGGCGACCGGCAAACGGGUGCGGAACACGUACAGAACCUUCCUUCGAGCGGGGAAUAGCCCAGAGAAAUUUGGAUUAAUACCCCAUAGUAUAUUAGAGUGGCAUCACUUUAAUAUUAAAGAUUUAUCACUUGAAGAUGGCUGUGCGGCUGAUUAGGAGUUGGCGGGGUAACGGCCCACCAAGCCAGCGAUCAGUAACUGGUGUGAGAGCACGACCAGUCACACGGGCACUGAGACACGGGCCCGACUCCUACGGGAGGCAGCAGUAAGGAAUAUUGGUCAAUGGACGCAAGUCUAGAACCAGCCAUGCCGCGUGGAGGAUGAAGGUCCUCUGGAUUGUAAACUUCUUUUAUAUGGGACGAAAAAGGUCUUUUCUAAGUCGUCUGACGGUACCAUAUGAAUAAGCACC